rnacentral:rRNA from 1 species
GACGAACGCUGGCGGCGUGCUUAACACAUGCAAGUCGAACGGAAAGGCCCUGCUUUUGUGGGGUGCUCGAGUGGCGAACGGGUGAGUAACACGUGAGUAACCUGCCCUUGACUUUGGGAUAACUUCAGGAAACUGGGGCUAAUACCGGAUAGGAGCUCCUGCUGCAUGGUGGGGGUUGGAAAGUUUCGGCGGUUGGGGAUGGACUCGCGGCUUAGCAGCUUGUUGGUGGGGUAGUGGCUUACCAAGGCUUUGACGGGUAGCCGGCCUGAGAGGGUGACCGGCCACAGUGGGACUGGGGUACGGCCCAGACUCCUACGGGAGGCAGCAGUGGGGAAUAUUGCACAAUGGGCGGAAGCCUGAUGCAGCAACGCCGCGUGGGGGAUGACGGCCUUCGGGUUGUAAGCCGCUUUCGCCUGUGACGAAGCGUGAGUGACGGUAAUGGGGAAAGAAGCACCGGCUAACUACGU